UGGGGAAUAUUGCACAAUGGGGGAAACCCUGAUGCAGCAACGCCGCGUGAGUGAAGAAGGUUUUCGGAUCGUAAAGCUCUGUCAUCCGGGACGAUAAUGACGGUACCGGAAGAGGAAGCCACGGCUAACUACGUGCCAGCAGCCGCGGUAAUACGUAGGUGGCGAGCGUUGUCCGGAACUACUGGGCGUAAAGGGUGUGCAGGCGGAUAUUUAAGUGAGAUGUGAAAGACCCGGGCUUAACCCGGGCAGUGCAUUUCAAACUGGAUAUCUAGAGUGCAGGAGAGGAGAACGGAAUUCCUAGUGUAGCGGUGAAAUGCGUAGAGAUUAGGAAGAACACCAGUGGCGAAGGCGGUUCUCUGGACUGUAACUGACGCUGAGGCACGAAAGCGUGGGUAGCAAACAGGAUUAGAUACCCUGGUAGUCCACGCCGUAAACGAUGAGUACUAGGUGUAGGGGG
rnacentral:rRNA from 1 species